AUUCCCCAUUAAUUAAAUCCCACAUUUCCCAUUAAUUAAAUCCUAUAUUCCCUAUAAAAUAAAUCCAAUUAUUCCCUAUUAAAUAAAUCCAAUUAUUCCCUAUUAAAUCCAAUUACUAAUAAUAAAUAAUAAUAAAUAAAAAAUCCCAUUUUCCUUUUCAAUAAAUCCCAAAAUUCCCAAUUUUCACCUUUUUUCCCCUUCAUUUUAAUCUCCAAAUCCCCCCUAAAAAAAUAAACUAAAAAUCCAAACAAAACCUCAAACUGGAAUUUUCCCUUUUUUCCAAUUUAUUCCAAAAAAAAAAAAAAUUCCGAGGAAGAAAAAAAAGACAAAGAAUUCCCAGAAAUUCCAUUGGAGGGGGAUUUAUUUCUGCAGGAAAAGAGCCGGGAAUUUACAGCUUUUUUUUGGGAAUUUUCGCACGGAUCCAAGCUGGGAUUUUUGGGAUUUCUCCUUUUUUUUUUUUUUCCCCCACCAAACAGAAGCAAAAACAACAACAAAACCAAAAAAUCCCGGAAAAAAACCACCCCAAAUCCAACUUUUUUUUUCACCCCAAACUUCAAACCCGGCGGGAAAAGGGAAUUCCGACCAUUUUUUCCCAAUUUCCCGGGAAUUCACCCCAAAAAUCCGUCGGUUUUUUAAUGGGAAGUCCAUGCGAUGGUGGCGGGAAAUUCCCGGGAUGAUCCAGACGGGCGAACGGACAGCUCAUGUUUGCUGUUAAUUAAUUAAUUAAUGAGUAAUUAAUUAAUUAAUUGGCGGGUCGUUCUGGUUGGGUUUUUGGGGAGGAAAGGGCGGGAAUGAGUUAAAUAAACAUGCGGGGGUGGGGGAGGGGCUGGGCCAGGCGGGGCCGCGGCGGUGGUGACGUCAUCGGUGACGUCAUCGUCUUCAUCAUCGUCAUCGGUGACGUCAUCGUCUUCGUCAUCGGUGUCAUCGUUGUCUUCUUCAUCAUCGGUGUCAUCGUCGUCUUCAUCGUCAUUGUCAUCAUCAUCAUCAUGGUCGUCGUUGUCGGUCAUUGUCACCAUUGUUGGGUCAUCGUCAUUGUCACCAUCGUUGGUCAUUGUCACCAUUGUUGGGUCAUCGUCAUCGUCAUUGUCACCAUCGUUGGUCAUUGUCACCAUUGUUGGGUCAUCAUCAUCGUCACCAUCGUUGGCCAUCGUUGCCAUCGUUGGUCAUCGUCAUCGUCACCACCGUUGGCCACGGCCACCAUCACCGUCGGUCAUUGGUCACCAUCACCGCUGUUGGCCAUCGUCACCUUCAUCGGUCACCGUCGUCACCGUUGGCCGUCGCCACCGCCGGCACCGCCGGCCGACCCGGCGUUCCCAAAAACCGCAGGAAUUCCCCGUUUGCGCUCCCGCCCCGGGAGGACGCGAACAAUGGAGGAGUCCUGGGAUCUGGAGCUCGUGGUGGGCGGGAUGCCCGCAGAUUCCGUGGAUUUCCCGAGGAUUCCGUGGAUUUCCUCUGGAUUCCAUGGAUUUCCCGCAGAUUCCCGCGGAUUCUGUGGAUUUCCCGAGGAUUCCAUGGAUUUCCUGCAAAUUCCACGGAUUUCCUGCAGAUUCCAUGGAUUUCCCGUGGAUUUCCUGCAGAUUCCAUGGAUUUCCCGUGGAUUCCAUGGAUUUCCUGUGGAUUCCAUAGAUUUCCUGUGGAUUCCAUGGAUUUCCUGUGGAUUCCCAAGGAUUCCAUGGAUUUCCCAUGGAUUCCCGAGGAUUCCAUGGAUUUCCUGUGGAUUCCCAAGGAUUCCAUGGAUUUCCUGUGGAUUCCAUGGAUUUCCUGUGGAUUCCAGUGGAUUCCCUGCAAAUUCCAGUGGAUUCCAUGGAUUUCCCAUGGAUUCCCAAGGAUUCCAUGGAUUUCCUGCAGAUUCCAUGGAUUCCCUGUGGAUUCCCAAAAAUUCCAUGGAUUUCCUGCGGAUUCCACAGAUUCCAUGGAUUUCCCAUGGAUUCCC
rnacentral:lncRNA from 1 species